CCAGCCCACGCCACUGUGGGUGUAUAAAUACACAACGCAGCAUCCAAAAGCAGCCAAAUACAUUUUCGCCGUGUCCAGCACCUGUAUAGCUUUCGCGUGAUAAUAGGCUACAGACCAGCACUCAUCAUACAGGCAGGCACCUGACGUGUGGCAGACUACAGGCAGGCACCUUACGACGUGUGGCAGACUACAGGCAGGCACCUGACGACGUGUGGUAGACUACAGGCCAGCAGAAGUUGAUCACCAAGAUGGCCACAUUAAAAGAACGGUGGAUGGAGUUUGUAAGAAAACAAUCUGAGAAGACUGCCAGAGAUCCAAACUCCAAGGCAAAGGUCAUGGCGGGUGUGGUCAUCUUACUAUUGAUCUGGACACAGAUACCUAAAGCCCAAGGCUCUGCCAUCGCCUGUGGACCUUGUGUAACCUGGGCGGCCCAAUGGUGUGCAGGCUUUAUAACAGCAGGGGGAGCGUGUGCCACAGUAGCAUUUGUUCCCCCAGCUCUCUGUGCCUGUCUCUUGGCAGCGGGAGGGUGGAUCUGUGUUGGAGCAGCAACAACGUGUGCCGUUGUCUGCCUUGCUCCUACACCAUAAACAAUACACAAUUUGACAUCAUUAUAAAAGUACCAUUUUUAGCGCAAUUUCCAUACGGACAAUGGCGAUUAUUAACUCGUCAUUUCUGGAUGUACGGAUGAAUGAAUGGAUGUGUUGUCUGCAGCUUUAAGUGGUAUCUCCUCCUCAUCGAAGCAAUAUCGAGGACUAGUUCCAAAGCAAAAAUGUUAAGCCAGUUCCAAGGAUGAUUGUGGGCCAAAAAAAUUCCUGGAAUUCCUUCCUGGAUUUCCCGGAAAAGCCAAAAAACCUCGAACAAAUGCAGUUUUUCGCCCAUAUCUCGGCAACCAGACCACUUAGCGACUUGAAACAUUUACCAUAAUUUCUGCCAUAAUUUAGAACAAUAUUGCCGAAGAAAGUUUUCAAAAAUAUCCUUUCGUUCGGUCACAUAAAAUUAAUUAAGAAAUUUUAAACUGAGCAUCGUGUAGGCCUAGGAUGAUAUUUUUAUUUGUGCUUAGUUUCUUAGAACUUUUAACUAGUAUCAUAUGUUUAAAUAGAGCCACGCUGUUGUUGUGACGCUAGUAGAAAUAAAAAUGUUAAACAUGA